UGUAUAAAUAGCAGUUGAAGUGGCCAGCCAAAACCAGUCUCCGGUUUCAAGACCAAAGGUUUCCUUCUGCGACGGUGCACCUUCUCCGUUCUGUCUUACACGUUUCCAAUUUUGCGGCUGUUAGCGUUUUUCUGAAAGGUCAAGCGGUAAUCCUCUUAAAAUGCUUCUGGAAAGUGUCCUUCUGUUGGCCGGCCUUGCCGGGGUCUUCGGCCAGGUCCCAUCGCCGAGUGCGCCGGCCAGCAAUUUCUCCUAUAUCUCCGGGAAAGGCAGCUAUCUGUUGGCGAUCGAUCGAACCGGUAUCGUUCAUCGUCUGAAUGGGACAACAUGGGUUGCGCUGCCCGCGCCGACGCUGGUGGGCAAUCCAAAUAUCCCUCUGAUUUCAACACACGCACGCAGUGUGGGCGCCAGUCCGGAUGGUUGGCAUCACAUGUGCACCAAGACUGGCGAAACCUUCCGCUAUAACCCAAACAGCAACACAUGGGAGUACACGAAUAAUGUCAUGUGUAAACAAAUUAACGCAAGGAACAAGGACAACGCUGCGGCAAUCAGGUUGUUGGCCCCGGGAAGUUACCAGGGAGUAGCACAAACCUAUACAGGUUAGCCACAGGUAUCCUCGGAACCGGAUCGUGAAAUCUCUUAGGCGCCACCACGGAUAAUAAUUUCGACUACCUAGAAUGGAUCAGCAUUGGGGAGGACGGCGAGACCUGGACUAUUGCGAAUGAAGGGCGAGUGUUCCGCUACAACAGUGCGGCGGACCGAUUUGACGGGAUCCCUAUUCUCAAUGCCCUGCGAUUGGAUGUGCGCAAUGCCAGCUACGCCACUGUCGUCACAGCGGGCUGCACCGCGUGGACCUUCAAAAGCGGGACAUGGGCCAAAUGGUACAUCGUUAGCGGCUGUCCGGUGCAGACAACCUCCACCAGUAGCAAUGAUUACUACCUAGACGAGCGCGGUCGUUUCGGUUCGCGACACUGAAAGACUUGAUUCUUCCAUUUUGUGGAUUUCAUACAGCGCGUACUGACAAAGGCGGAAAUGCUUAUAAAAAGGGUAUAGACCAAUUGGUGCCCUUAAAAGUGACCUUUGCCCUUAAAAGUUAUGUAUAAACGCUUCAGCUACUUCUUAAGCGCAUUAUUGAAAGCUCGACAAAGCCGUCUUGACAGGCUUACAAAGUACUAUAAUCAUUAUAUUCCUUACGUAUUAUAUUCUUUUAUAUAUAGACAUAAUGUGCCGCUAAUAGAUAUAGAUAUAUAUAUAAUAGAUAUAUAUAGACAUAAUGUGUGUGUUGGAUUUUUC